rnacentral:rRNA from 1 species
CAGCAGCCGCGGGAAUACGUAGGUGGUAAGCGUUGUCCGGAAUUAUUGGGCGUAAAGGGCUCGCAGGCGGUUUCUUAAGUCUGAUGUGAAAGCCCCCGGCUCAACCGGGGAGGUCAUUGGAAACUGGGAAACUUGAGUGCAGAAGAGGAGAGUGGAAUUCCACGUGUAGCGGUGAAAUGCGUAGAGAUGUGGAGGAACACCAGUGGCGAAGGCGACUCUCUGGUCUGUAACUGACGCUGAGGAGCGAAAGCGUGGGGAGCGAACAGGAUUAGAUACCCGGGUAGUCCCUGUCUCUUAUACA